UACGUAGGGUCCGAGCGUUGUCCGGAAUCAUUGGGCGUAAAGGGCGCGUAGGUGGCCCGGUCAGUCAGUGGUGAAAGCGCGGGGCUCAACCCUGCGUCGGCCAUUGAUACUGCCGCGGCUCGAGCACUGUAGAGGCAGGCGGAAUUCCGGGUGUAGCGGUGGAAUGCGUAGAGAUCCGGAAGAACACCGGUGGCGAAGGCGGCCUGCUGGGCAGCGGCUGACACUGAGGCGCGACAGCGUGGGGAGCAAACAGG
rnacentral:rRNA from 1 species